AUGCUGAAUUUUACUCGAGCGGUUGGGAAGGGAACUCCUAUUCCUAGAAAGAACAUAUGGCCACCAGUCUUAGCCUCACAACAACUACUGAAUGUGGACGCCUCUUUCAUCGAGGGCUCCCACUCGGGAUCAUGAGGAGCAAUUGUUAGAGAUCACAUAGGUUACUUCAUUGCUGGUUCUACCUCACAGAUGGAACAAGUGGCAGAUGUUGUGUUAGCAGAAGCAGCGACACUUCAUGAAGGAUUGAAGCUACUCCAAACCCUGGGGUGCAUCAACGUUCAAGUGAGGAUGGACAAUAUCAUCGUGGUCGAAGCUCUACGUCUCAAUGAGGGUUACUCUAUGGUGGCAGCUCUGCCACUUGAUGAUUGCAGAGACUUAAUGCGAGAAUUCGGGAAGGUUACUAUUGAACAUUAUAAUAGAGAAUCUAACGUAGUGGCUCACAUGCUAACAGAGGGGCGUGCGAACAAUCCGAUUGUUUGGAUGGAUGCACCUCCGAGUUUUAUUGGUAAAUUUUUAGCAGACGAUGUAAGUGUUAUUUGA
rnacentral:rRNA from 1 species